rnacentral:rRNA from 1 species
UGCAGCGAUGCCGCGUGAGUGAAGAAGGCCUUUGGGUUGUAAAGCUCUUUCGUCGGGGAAGAAAAUGACUGUACCCGAAUAAGAAGGUCCGGCUAACUUCGUGCCAGCAGCCGCGGUAAUACGAAGGGACCUAGCGUAGUUCGGAAUUACUGGGCUUAAAGAGUUCGUAGGUGGUUAAAAAAGUUGGUGGUGAAAUCCCAGAGCUUAACUCUGGAACUGCCAUCAAAACUUUUUAGCUAGAGUAUGAUAGAGGAAAGCAGAAUUUCUAGUGUAGAGGUGAAAUUCGUAGAUAUUAGAAAGAAUACCAAUUGCGAAGGCAGCUUUCUGGAUCAUUACUGACACUGAGGAACGAAAGCAUGGGUAGCGAAGAGGAUUAGAUACCCUCGUAGUCCAUGCCGUAAACGAUGUGUGUUAGACGUUGGAAAUUUAUUUUCAGUGUCGCAGCGAAAGCGAUAAACACACCGCCUGGGGAGUACGACCG